UACGAAGGGGGCUAGCGUUGUUCGGAAUUACUGGGCGUAAAGCGCGCGCAGGCGGCUAUCCAAGUCAGUGGUGAAAGCCCGGAGCUCAACUCCGGAACUGCCAUUGAAACUGUCUAGCUUGAGUAUGAGAGAGGUGAGUGGAAUUCCCAGUGUAGAGGUGAAAUUCGUAGAUAUUGGGAAGAACACCGGUGGCGAAGGCGGCUCACUGGCUCAUUACUGACGCUCAGGCGCGACAGCGUGGGGAUCAAACAGG
rnacentral:rRNA from 1 species